CUUGGUCAUUUAGAGGAAGUAAAAGUCAUAACAAGGUUUCCGUAGGUGAACCUGCGGAAGGAUCAUUAAUAGUGCCCUCUGAUGCAAAUCAUUGGGUUAGAUCUGCUCUCUUCGCAAGAAGAGGGUUUCCAUACACACCGUGAACUGUGGCUUCGGCCAUCACAAACUGUUAGUAAUGAAUGUAAUAUCAUAACAAAAACAAAACUUUUAACAACGGAUCUCUUGGCUCUCGCAUCGACGAAGAACGCAGCGAAAUGCGAUAAGUAAUGUGAAUUGCAGAAUUCAGUGAAUCAUCGAAUCUUUGAACGCACCUUGCGCCCUUUGGUAUUCCGAAGGGCAUGCCUGUUUGAGUGUCAUGAAACCUCACCCCACUUGGGUUUUUGCCUGAGCGGUGGUGUAUUGGGUGUUGCCUUGCUAAAGGCUCGCCUUAAAGACAUAAGCACCUUGGAUGUAAUACGUUUCAUCCUUCUGGGUGGCUGAUAACCCCACAUAUUCAUGAUCUGGCCUCAAAUCAGGUAGGGCUACCCGCUGAACUUAAGCAUAUCAAUAAGCGGAGGA
rnacentral:rRNA from 1 species